UUGCAUUGUAUUGGUCUGUAUUUGCCUUUGUCUUGCGUUGUUUUGCUCUGUAUUUGUAUUGACUGUCAUGUGAAACUGUCUCGCAUUGUAUGGCCCUUUAUUGUGUUUUUUCUGGCAUUGUAGUGCUCUGUGCUUGUAUUGACUGUCAUCUGAGACUAUCUUGCAUUGUAUUGCUCGAUAUUGGUUUGUGUUCUACUGCUCUGUACUUGCAUCGUCUGCCAUCUGAGACUGUCUCGCAUUGCAUGGCCCUGCAUUGUGUUUUGUAUUGCAGUGCUCUGUACUUGUAUUGAGUGCCAUCUGAGACUGCCUUGCAUUCUAUGGUUCUGUAUUGGUUUUGUAUUGUUUUGGUCUGUAUUUGUAUUGACUGUCAUCUGAGAGUCUCUUGCCUUGGCCCUGUCCCAUUUUGUCUGGUAUGGCAGUGCUCUGAGUUGUUUUGUCUUGACUGAGAUAAGAGUACUGCCUUGUAUGGCACUAUAUUUGCAUGCGAAUUGCAUGGCUCUAUGUUUGUGUGUGUAUUGUAUGUCAUUGUAGAGACAGCAUAGAAAGCUUAAUGACUUUGGGUUCUUUGCAUGCAAGGAGUUGAGUGGAUCGCAAUUGGACUGUGAACUAGCAUAGAGUAAGGCAGUAACUGGGCAAUGGUUCAUAUUGUUUAUGUGGAUGCUUUGUGGCAAGCCUCUAGAAAUGGUCAAGGCCUCGAGGUCCGAGUAGCAGCGUGACGGGCCUCGGAGUGAUCGGUAACUUUGGGACAGCUCUGUGUUUGUGAUGCUCUGUUUUUUCAAGUGCCGUGGAGGACACUGACUGUGAGAAUGUGUUAUUUUUGGAAUAGGUGGGAAGCAGGGGAGGGGAGCGGUGGAGGACUUCUCUCUCAAGGAUGAAGUGUCUAAUAAAAAGCUUUGUGUGUUGUUUUUGCAGGUGACAACAGGGCACGAGGUGCUUGAAGGAACCUUGCAUUUAGGUGACAUGGCUGCUAUGGAGGUUGGACUGUGACAUGUGGCACUGUGGAAGCUAAGUAUCGGGUUGAAAAUGCACGGAUGGUGGAGAUGAUGGUGUGGAAGUGGACAGUCUGUCAAGAUGAGCGGAGAUCGCUUGUUUUCUGCCCGGGAACAGGGAUCGUGGAGGUAAUGUCACCUUGGGGAGGAAAACCUCUGGAUGUGAAGUGACAGAUGUAAUGGGAGCAAGGAAUGUGGAAAAGACCACUCCGUAGAGAAUUGCAGGCACUAAAUAGUGGCAAUUCUUCUUAAGGUAAUGCUAAAUUUUUGGAGUUUAAAUGUAUUUGUAAAAAUAAUGAUUAAAAGAGGAAUAAAACUAAUAGUGGCAAAUA